ACAUGAUUUCUCAACUGAUGAUGAUUAUAUAUGCUUAUUUACACACAGUCCAUAAUUAUUGGCUAAUACUAAUCUUGUAAGUAUAAUUCUUAUAAUAACAACAUAGUGUUACCGAACCAUAUUCCAAAACAUAAUAGCACUAGAUGUAUCGUCAACUGAAUUGAAUGUGAUAAAACCAAAUCCUCUCAAUCCACCAAAUAGUUCCAGCAAUGGAUAUCACUGCCAUUCCAUGAUUGAUCUGUGAUUUCUCGUCAAAAAACAAUUUGACUCUAACCAAACAUGAUGUUGCACAAU
rnacentral:lncRNA from 1 species